GAUGAACGCUGGCGGCGUGCCUAAUACAUGCAAGUCGAGCGAACGGACGAGAAGCUUGCUUUUCUGAUGUUAGCGGCGGACGGGUGAGUAACACGUGGAUAACCUACCUAUAAGACUGGGAUAACUUCGGGAAACCGGAGCUAAUACCGGAUAAUAUUUUGAACCGCAUGGUUCAAAAGUGAAAGACGGUCUUGCUGUCACUUAUAGAUGGAUCCGCGCUGCAUUAGCUAGUUGGUAAGGUAACGGCUUACCAAGGCAACGAUGCAUAGCCGACCUGAGAGGGUGAUCGGCCACACUGGAACUGAGACACGGUCCAGACUCCUACGGGAGGCAGCAGUAGGGAAUCUUCCGCAAUGGGCGAAAGCCUGACGGAGCAACGCCGCGUGAGUGAUGAAGGUCUUCGGUUCGUAAAACUCUGUUAUUAGGGAAGAACAUAUGUGUAAGUAACUGUGCACAUCUUGACGGUACCUAAUCAGAAAGCCACGGCUAACUACGUG
rnacentral:rRNA from 1 species